UCACUAAAGUUUUUCUUAUUUAGAAUAUGGUAAUAUUGCUAUCUUCUAGAACAAAAUAUCAAUAAAGAGAUGAGGAUUUAUUUAAGUAUAUAUAGAAUUUUGACAGGUUGCAUUUCAACCCCUUUGACAAUCUCUUUCACAUUCUCUGCUCUGACAAACACCCUUUUGGACGACUUUAUUCACAACAGACACAACCUUGGUGUUAGGCCAGUCUGGGUACAGACAGGAUGUAACUUGUAAGAAGCAGCAGCACUGCUGUGCCAGAAAGAUUCCCUGCCAGCUGAGAAGCACACCCACCUCUUCCUUUUGCUUUGCUGCUAAGUAGAGAGACGCCUGGAGAAAGAGGCCACCUUAACUCAGGAGCUCUGGAGUGUGACUGACACCCUGUUCUUUGUAAGGAGGGGACAGUACAAGAGGCAGAACAUUUGAGGAGAGACCAGGAUCAGACAUUGGCGGUGUUUGGCCCCUCUGGACAUUGGUCUGUGGAAGGAGAGGCCACCCUGAUGGUAUUCUGGGGCUAGGCCACCCUGACGGUAUUCUGGGGCUCUGGGUAGGCCGGUCCCAGUCGGGCCCCAUCACCGAUCAACCGACCCACAGGAGUUUAUCGAGGAAGCCUCUAGAGGUUGAAAUUAUGGGUUCCUCACAGUCCACAGAAGGAACUCCACUUGAUUGUGUUUUGAAUAACUUCAAAAAAUUUAUUCCACAGACAGAGAAGAUGAAUAUGGCAUAAAAGUUUCCAAAGGCAAAUUGCGAACUCUGUGUCAAUCAGAAUGGUCAAGUUUCGGAGUCAGUUGGCCCCCGGUGGGAAUUUAUUCUGUGCACAUUGCUAGCAAGGUUUGAAAUGUGGUCACGGGAGUCGGGGCCCCACAGGUCUCAAUUGACUUUUGGCACUCGAUCGGGACAGGACUAUGGUCCAUCAGCCCCAUCUUCCUCCUCCUUUUUUCCUUUAAAACAGACAGAGCCUGGGGGAGGAUUGAUUUAUGUCCCUUUUACAACUAAUGAUCUUUACAAUUGGAAACAUCAAAAUCCCCCCUUCUCUGAAAAAACCUCAGGCAUUAAUCUCUUCUUGAGUCUGUUUUUCAUACCCAUCAGCCAACCUGGGAUGAUUGCCAGCAGCUUUUACAGAUCCUGCUCACCACUGAGGAGCGGGACUGCAUUUAUCAACAGGCAGUCAAAGAGGCCCUGGGACCAAACCCUGGCAUCACUCCCAGAACUCCAAGGCAUUCAGCCAAGGCUGAAACAGUAGUUCCAUCGUGACACCCUGAAUGGGACCCCAAUGAUGAUGAUGGUAAGAGGAGGCUGGGGACCUACUGCCAGCACUUAUUAGGGGGACCCCGGGCAGCGGCCAGAAAGCUCACUAAUUUGAGUAAGGUAAGUGAGGUUUGCCAGGGAGAAAUGGAGUCUCCGACUGCAUUUUUGGAGAGACUCUUGGAAACCUAUAGAGUUUUCACUCCUUUUGACCCAGAGGCACCCAAAAAUGCAGCAGCUUUAAAUCCGGCCUUUGUUUCCCAGUUGGCCCCAGGCAUUAAAAAAAAUUACAGAAAUUAGAGGGAUUUGAGGGAAAGA